rnacentral:rRNA from 1 species
UGCGUAGGCGGAGGCGUAAGCCAGUGGUGAAAGCCCACAGCUCAACUGUGGAAUUGCCAUUGGAACUGCAUCUCUUGAAUGUGAUCGGGGUCGGCGGAAUGUGUCAUGUAGCGGUGAAAUGCAUAGAUAUGACACAGAACACCGAUAGCGAAGGCAGCUGACCAGAUCAUCAUUGACGCUGAGGCACGAAAGCGUGGGGAGCGAACAGGAUUAGAUACCCUGGUAGUCC